CAUAUACUUACCAGCGCAUUUGUCAACGCUUUGGACCAUUGUGAAGCUUGCAAUGGACCUGUCUCCGCUCUAAGAUGGCUUGGUUACACAUGCAAAUUGUGUUCAAGGUCGUGGCACAAAUCCUGCUUUAUCAAGAUGAAUCCGUUGCAGGAUGUUGAUGAGCAUGUUUCCGACUCUGCAAGUAGUCACGGCACUUCCUCCGGUGAUCUCUUUCACAUUGACACUGAAUCAAGUUGUGAUGGAAAUAGUGAUAGUGAGGAUCCACAGUGGGUAAACCUACCACAUCGCAAGGGUGGACCAGUUAAAUCACUUUAUUCUCAGGAAAGGACAGAGAGUGCCACAACCUAUGUCCUGCAUGGAACAGGAAGACAAGGAUUCUUCCAAAUCUGUAAAAUUCGACAUUGAUGGUGACCACAUACCUGAUAGUGAACCCUGUUGUGAUGAUGAUCCUACAACAAGCAAUACCCAGACUCUUCUAUCAAGUACAAAAGAGGCUUCUUCUAAUGAGGCUGCAGUCGUGCCAGAAGUCUCUCCUUGCACUCAAAGAAAUUACUGCUAUGUUUGCAAAACACCUCAAUCUAAAAUAUCCUGUCAUCUUAAAAAACAUGAAAAAGGAGAGCUUGAUAUUGCUGAAGCAUUCUCGUUUCCUAAGAAAUCAAAAGAGAGAAAAAGACUACUUGAGAAGUUGCGGAACAGAGGUAAUUACGAACACAACCAGGAAGUUUUGAGGAAUCAUGAAGGACAACUGAAAUUAAGAAGAAGACCAUCACGAUCAAAAAUCUCUGUGACAACCCAAACGCAUGUGCACUGUGCAUAUUGUAAGGGCAUGUUCAUUCGUAAGGAGCUGUGGCGCCACUUGCGUAGAUGCCCAUCAAAGACGGUCUCCGAGAGUGAGGCUGUUGGGAAGAAUAGAGUCUUAGUUGUGGCUGAUAUCUCGGAGACAACAUUCUGCCAAGCAAUUUGCGCUGGACUGUGGAAAAUCCUUAGAAAUAUGAGGCAAGAUGAGAUUGCAUCUGUUGUACGAAAUGACUUCCUCAUUCUGCAACUGGGCCAGUCUCUCUUCAACAAGCAUGGGAGUGAUUCAACAAAGUUUGAGUAUAUCAGAGCCAAGGUCCGAGAAAUGGGCAGACUGUUGUUGACCUUAAGAAAGAAAUAUUCUAUAUUUAGCUUUGAAGAAGCUGUAAAGCCAAAUCAUUUUUACAAGAUCAUUGGAGCUGUCAGAGCAGUUGCAGGAUAUGAUGAAGAGAAACACUCCUAUUGCACACCAAGCCUUGCCCUGAAAUUGGGACACUCGCUCAAGAAGAUCGGUGACAUUAUUCUCUGCAGGGCCAUCGCAGCAGAGGAUGAAGAUUUGAUUAAAGCAGCAGAACGAUUCACACAACUCUGCACAAAACAGUGGGCAACACAGGUCUCCCACACUGCACUGGCUACUUUGAGCAAGGCAAAAUUUAACAAACCAUCCACCAUACCAUUCACAGAGGAUGUGCAGCUCUUGCACAAGUACCUGGAGGACAAAUCAGCAGACGCCAUUGAAAACCUAAAAGACCAUGAUUCUCCACAGGCGUAUGCUGAACUUGCUAGGGUGACACUCACUCAGAUAAUCGUCUUUAAUAGACGCCGUGCAGGAGAAGUCUCAAAAAUGACACUUGAGUCCUUCAAAAAAAGAGACCAGACUGAGCUCCAUAGUGACAUAGCUGCUAGCUUGUCACCGUUUGAACAAAAGCUAGCCCAGCACUUCAGCAGGGUUGAAAUUAUGGGCAAAAGAGGGAGGAAAGUUGCUGUUCUAUUAAACCCGGAAGUUGUCAGUGCAACAACACUUCUAUCACACAAAAGAGACGCAUGUAACGUCCAUAAGGAUAACCCCUUCCUCUUUGGACGUCCACAGUGCCCACCCACGAGCUACUACAGGGGACAGGACUGCAUACGAAUUUUUGCACACGCGUGUGGUGCAAAGAAUCCUGAUAAUCUGAGGUCUACGCAACUUCGCAAGCACAUUGCAACAUUGUCCCAAAUUCUCAAUCUCAAAAAUAAUGAGCUGGACCAACUCCCAAUUUCUUGGGCCACGACAUUCUGGUCCACAGAGACUUUUAUCGUCUUCCGGAGGCAACUAUAGAAAUGGCAAAAAUCACAAAGCUUCUACUUGCAAUGGAAAAAGGAACUCUUGCAAAAUUCCAGGGAAUGUCUCUUGACGAGAUUGAGGUUGAAGCUGAAUUGGACCCAGAGCUGGAAGAUCGAGAUGAUGAAGGCGAUGGAGACGACGAAGGCGACGACGACGGAGGCUGCGAAGGUGACGACGGAGGCUGCGAAGGUGACGACGGAGGCUGCGAAGGUGACGACGGAGGCUGCGAAGGUGACGACGGAGGCUGCGAAGGUGACGACGGAGGCUGCGGAGGUGACGACGGAGGCUGCGGAGGUGACGACGGAGGCGGCGGAGGCUGCGAAGUUGACGACGGAGGUGACGACGGAGGUGAUGACAGAGGCGGCGGAGGCGACGACGGAGAAAAUCAAGAAAUGAAGAUGCCUGAAGAGCCCACCAGCUCCUCAGGGAAAAGAAAAAGUAUGGAAUUGACCCAGGGUGAGGCCAAGAGUUACAAAGGGGGAAAGAAACUGUGUGCGACCCAGAGUGUGGCAUCCAGCUCCAAAGAAUUCAAAUCAAGAAGAUGUGUGAAAAGGCCAUGGAGCAAGACUAAAGUUGGUGCUGUCAUGAAACAUUUUAAGACACACAUUUCAAAGGGACACUUGGCAACUAAGUUAGAGUGUGAGCGGUGUAAGGUUUCUGAGCACCCUGUUUUGAGCGACAGAACUCCUCAAAAUAUAAGAGACUUUGUUAAGAACAGGGGCCUUAUGUUUAAAAGAAAGGUCUAACUUGUUUUAUUUUUUUACAUAUGUUUCAAAGGUUCCUCAGAGCAUUAUUACGUGUUUGUGUUAGUUCAUGUUAGUUCAUAGUUCAUAGUUCAUAGUUCAGGGCUAUUCAACCUCCUUAACAAGUGGGCCGAAAAGGAAAACCACUGGGGGUUCAUGGGCCAAACAGAGUAGAACGAUGUCAAUGAAUCGCUGCUAAUAAAUCGUACUUAAAGUAGUGUUAACUUAAUAUAUAUAGUACUACUACAUGGAAUAAACUUGUCAGACGCAUUCCUUCCUUCACUUUUAAUCGUAUCAUUAGAAAA